ACCAAAUGAAAUUUCAGCAUAGAUACAUCUCAUGUUCCAAAAAAUGAGAACCUUGGGUUUCUAGAGUUAAUUGAUCCGAAGCAUACAAACUAAAUACAAUGCUAGAGCAGUUAUUGCCCACACUCGCUAAACUAGACCCGACUAAUCAACUUACAAAAUUAUGGGGACCCACACUAGCUCAUAAUGGGAAAUACAACUUCCCCUACAUUUUCCAUA
rnacentral:lncRNA from 1 species